rnacentral:rRNA from 1 species
CCUACGGGAGGCAGCAGUGGGGGAUAUUGCACAAUGGGGGAAACCCUGAUGCAGCGACGCCGCGUGGGUGAAGAAGCGCCUCGGCGCGUAAAGCCCUGUCAGCAGGGAAGAAAAUGACGGUACCUGAAGAAGAAGCACCGGCUAACUACGUGCCAGCAGCCGCGGUAAUACGUAGGGGGCAAGCGUUAUACGGAUUUACUGGGUGUAAAGGGGGCGCAGACGGCGAUGCAAGCCAGGAGUGAAAGCCCGGGGCCCAACCCCGGGACUGCUCUUGGAACUGCGUGGCGAGAGUGCAGGAGGGGCAGGCGGAAUUCCUGGUGUAGCGGUGAAAUGCGUAGAUAGCAGGAGGAACACCGGUGGCGAAGGCGGCCUGCUGGACUGCAACUGACGUUGAGGCCCGAAAGCGUGGGGAGCAAACAGGAUUAGAUACCCUGGUAGUC